GUUUGUUUGUGAACUAUUACAAAGAUGUUUCUGUCGCAAGAGAACCUGGCUGAAGAAAUCCGGCAACAAGCCGCUUCUAUAGAUGCCUAAUGCGAUAAAAAUUCCGCUAAGUGAAAGUUCUGGACGCGGAGUUUGUAAAUACCACGCUGCAUAUUUCCACAUCCACGACGAAAUAGCUGUAGGACCCUGUUCAAUAAGGUAUACGUUUUAGAUUAUUUCGUAAGUCAUUAAUCAAAUAGUCAAAACAUUGAACAUUCACAAUAAAAGGUCUAGAGCAUUGCAAGAUGUAUGUUUCAAGUAUUCAAAGUUCUACCUUCAUGGGAAGCUAUGUAGUGUCUGUCAGUAUCUAAUUAAAAUAAUAUACCAUUUGAUAGAAUGUAUUUUUGUAUUAUACAGAAGAUAUUAAUUUAAUAAUAUAUGUAUAUAAAUGUUAUGGGACAAUCUUACCCAAAUUGACAAAGCCCCACAAUAAGCUCAAGAAGGCUUAUGUUGUGAUAUAUAAUAAAUACACACAUGGAAAACACACACCAAAUGACUCAGGAACAGAUAUCUGUGCUCAUCACAUAAAUAAAUACAUAAUGCCGAGAUUCAAACUGAGUUGUUCGCAAAGUAGUGUACUUCUACGUUAUUUUUCCAUUUAAACUUUUAUGGCAGGCAGAUUAUCAACAUGAAGUGGGCCGGGACCAAAUGGAUGCCUGUUUCUCAGCAAGCGGUGUCCAACUGCUAAAUUACCCCGGUCUUAUCAGUAUGGGCUAUCAUUAAAGCCGGGGGUUUUCGAUGCACACAUGUGACCCUUCAUGGGCCAUAGGAAUAUGAAGACCGCUUCUUGUAUAUCUUUUCCAUCACGGAACAAUGGUGUUCCGGACCUUUGGUAGGCGUGCGCGGAGCCGUAGGCAACACAUACGGGAUCAUAUCAAUUACGUGGACAAGUCGUAUGGUGGGACAACCUACGACACCUUUAUAUGGAGCAACAGCGUUAGUCGAGAUUACUUCGAGCAGCUGGCAUGUGUGGCACCAGCGAAAUAGUGUACAUUAGAUAUGGGAACAAGUCAACUACAUCAUUAACAUGGACGCGUCGUACGGCAGGGCAACCCACGACGCC